UUUCCGGUUGAUCCUGCCGGAGGCUACCGCUAUUGGAGUUCGAUUAAGCCAUGCGAGUCGAGAGUCUUAGGGACUCGGCGUACCGCUCAGUAACACGUGGGUAACCUGCCCUAUGCUGGGGAAUAACCUCGGGAAACUGAGAAUAAUGCCCCAUAGUCCACCAUGCCUGGAACGGUUGGUGGAUCAAAGCUCCGGCGGCAUAGGAUGGGCCUGCGGCGUAUCAGGUCGUAGGGGGUGUAACGUACCCUCUAGCCAUCAACGCGUACGGGUGUUGGGAGACAUAGCCCGGAGAUGGAUUCUGAGACACGAAUCCAGACCCUACGGGGUGCAGCAGGCGCGAAAACUUGGCAAUGCGAGAAAUCGUGACCAGGGAACUCCAAGUGCAUCGGGUAAGACCGGUGCUUUUCUUGACUCUAAAUAGGUCUUGGAAUAAGGGGUGGGUAAGGACGGUGCCAGCCGCCGCGGUAAUACCGGCGCCUCAAGUGGUAGUCGCUUUUAUUGGGCCUAAAACGUCCGUAGCCGGUCUGAUACAUUCGUGGGUAAAUCAACCAGCUCAACUGGUUGAAUUCUGCGAGCACGGCCAGACUUGGGACCGGGAGAGGUGUGGGGUACGCUCAGGGUAGGGGUAAAAUCCUGUCAUCCUGAGCGGACCACCUGUUGCGAAGGCGCCACACUAGAACGGAUCCGACGGUCAGGGACGAAGCCUAGGGGCACGAACCGGAUUAGAUACCCGGGUAGUCCUAGGUGUAAACGCUGUGGACUUGGUGUUGGGGACUCUCCGAGAAUCCUCAGUGCCGAAGCGAAGGUGAUAAGUCCACUGCCUGGGGAGUACGGUCGCAAGGCUGAAACUUAAAGGAAUUGGCGGGGGAGCACCGCAACCUGAGGAUUGUGCGGUUUAAUUGGAUUCAACGCCGGA
rnacentral:rRNA from 1 species